rnacentral:rRNA from 1 species
GACAGAGGGUGCAACGUUGUUCGGAAUUACUGGGCGUAAGCGCGUGUAGGCGGUCGAAAGUCGGAUGAUGAAGCCCUGGGCCUUAACCUAGGAAGUGCAUUCGAAACUCGUCGAGCUUGAGUUCUGGAGAGGAAGGCGGAAUUCUCGGAUGUAGAGGUGAAAUUCGUAGAUAUCGAGAGGAACACCGGUGGCGAAGGCGGCCUUCUGGACAGUGACUGACGCUGAGA